GUGCUUGCCUUGGCAGCACAUAUACUAAAGUUGGAACAAUAUAGAGAAGAUUAGUAUGGCCCCUGCACAAGAAGACAGGUAAGUUUAUGAAGCCUUCUGUAUUUAA
ensembl:snRNA U6 U6 spliceosomal RNA